rnacentral:lncRNA from 1 species
CUGUUUUAGACACGUAGCUUGUGAUAUCCCACUAAUUAUCUAUUUUAAACAUGUGACAAGUCGUAUGACACUGUAUUGAUGUAUGUGAAAUGUAUAGAGUCUUUCAGUUAUCAGAUAAUGUCAAGGAUUUCGGAUCAGCAAGAAGAAAUUUUUGUAGAUGUAUCCAAAAAGUACUCAUCAAAUUUGGUGGGGAAUUAUUUUUUACGAGGGACAAAAAAUCAAGUGGCAAAGUGCAUACAGUUUAAGUAGAUUUUAAAGAUAUUGGGUAAGCGUACGACACCAAUGUAUACCCAUUUACGAACAAAAAGUUGUUAAAGUCUUCAGUCGUUCGCUUUUAAAAAAUGAAGUGCUUCAAAAAUACGUGAAGCAUGAUUGUUAAAAGAGUUAAACAAGGGCCCUGCGAAUCGGCAUUUUUUGUUUCGAAUUGAAUCUCGAAUCAAAGCAGGUCACAAUUCAAAUCAC